rnacentral:misc_RNA from 1 species
GGCAGUGAUGAUGUUGAACAGUGUUACAUUUGUCUGGCUGAGUAUGAGGAAGGGGACAAAAUAAGAGUUCUUCCUUGCCACCAUGAGUAUCACAUGUUGUGUGUCGACAAAUGGCUUAAAGAGAUACAUGGGGUGUGCCCACUCUGUCGAGGGGAUGUUCGUCAGGGUGCCAAUGAGGCUUCUGUCUCUGCCAUGGAGUCUUCUGUCCCUAAUCCAGAAGUCCCUUAUAUUUGAUAGAAUUGUAUAUAUGAAUGUAAAUACCAACCCACCACCAAUGUGCUCAAUUUACACAUUUUAGCAUCAUAUUCAAAAGGUGUCAUUCUGUAGAAUUUUAUAGAAGGCGUUUUAUGGCUAAUAUUUGGUUCCAUUUUAUGGUUCUCUGGUGGCAUUGUGUAGAAUAGUAAAUCAAGCCUAAUCAUGAUACAGCAGGAACAUGGGUG